AAUCGUUGUGAAAAAGACCGCAAACAAAACAGUCGCUUGAUGAUGACAUAGGCGAGCCGCUAUGUCUUGGAGCUGACAAAAGUUUUCUUCCCCGUAUGCAGCCUGCCUUGCCCCUGAGUAGCUAAACACAUCAAGAGCAGCUGCUGCCCAGAAAACGGAGGGACCAGCAUUCACAUCUGAGCACAUUAGUCACCAGAUGUCACCUUUUGCUGCCAGCCCAUCGAACAUCCAAGCAGACAAUGCUCCGUGCAUUCUGAACAUCUGACUUACGCCGGUUUCUACAAGGGGGCUGGGUGAAGACGGGGAUUUCUAUAAGUUUUCCAUAGAGUGGCAGAAAUUGACCUCUGAGUUAUGGGCGGGACCAUUGGCGCAGAGUAAGUCCGUCCUCUUCCCAUCAUCCAUCUGUUUGCGUGCUCUCCUGCCUGCUUACAGCCCCUCACACCCCCCAUCAAACAUCACCAGUGCAAGAAAAGUGGCGAGCAAUAUUGGAGCUAGCCAGCCGUACAGUUUUGAUCCAGAUGCCAGGUCUGACGAAGCUCUAAAAAUGAGCACGUACAUGGAUCUAGUGGUCUACAAGAUGCAUCAGAAUGGAGUGCACCAGGGACCUCGUGGACUGCCGAUUGUGAUUUGUACAGUUUUGGGACUGCUCCUGAUGCACAGCGAUUUGAAUGAAGAAACAAUCAGAAAUGCUGUUUUUAAGUUAAUGUCCUCCUCCAUUGUGAGACAAAAAAACACACCAAAAACACGAUUUUCAUAGGAGUGGGUCUUUAAAGGUGUAAAAGUUUACUGUCAGAAAGUAAACAAUUAGUUUUAUCUCAAACGGUUGAGAACCAACAUUAGUUCCAAGCUGGUUGAUUUGAUCAAACAAAGAGAAUCUUAUUUAUGUAACAAUAUGUAACAUUUAAUGGAGAUGUUGCUGAUUAAAGCUAAAUGAAUAAAAUCCCUUCAUCUCAUGUAUGGUGUGUAAGGAAAUCAUAGAUUUAUAAAAACAAGAGUGGCUAAUAUAUCACAAACAGAAGAAGAUGUUUUUUUUCCUGUUUUUGCUCAUGACAAUUGUAUAUCAAUGGAUCAAUUUCUAGAAUCGUACACAAACAAACAGUUUUCCUUUCAUUGUUUAUCCUUGUUAAGGUUUAACAGCAGAAUACACUCCCUCCUCAUCUAUUCUGUCUGCCUCAUGCUCCUUCUCUCCAUAUAUUAAACGAUGGGUGGCACUUUCCCCUCACAGCGUUAUCUGCUACGUCGAGUCACCUCCAGACACAUUAGCAUAUUUAUCAUCAGCUCCACAGACUUCAAAGUCAGUGCUUGUUUCUUAGAGAGAUGGGGAAGCGCCACCAGGAAGCCGGCACAGGCUGCAAAGCGCUAGGUGUUCCCAGGGGAUCAAAUAUCCAUUUAGGUAAGAUGGAAGCAGGGGGGAGGCUAUAAGCAGAAUUCAAUUCAUUUAUUUGCAGAAGUGAUGAUGUCUUUAGCAGUGACUUUAAAUAUUUGCACAGCGCUAACUGCUGCCUUUACCACGGUUUUGUGAUAUUAAUACAUGGUUAAUGCAGGUGGGAGCAAUAAAUGUGUUUUAUUUCCCUUUUUUUAUGGAUGCUGUUGCAGGAGAAGUUUCUUUAUAAAUAAAACACUGUGAACCAUUUUCUUAAAAUGAAUAAACCUUGCUUCCUUGCAAUAUGAUGAAAGGUGCAAAUUACCGUUUAGAAAUUGAUUUUUUUCAUGUAUGUUUAAAAUUUAAAAUCAUGGAGGAAGCUCUUAUGGAAUAAGUAAGGUAAAUCUUUAAUAAAUCCCUCUGAAAUAUCAUUUUUUCAUUGUAAGGACAAGGGAAUGAGGUGGGUCAAGCCAUAUUUGUGGUCAAUCGAGGAAUUUUUGAUGGACAGCUGGCAUGUACCACUGUGUCUCCAGAAUAAAAGGCCCAGCCUUGCCAUCUGCUGGCUCCGUCCAGGUGAAGAAAAACUCAAAUUGGCAGAUGACCAAAUGUAGGAAAUGUUCCCAGAAUAAGGCGGGCCAAGAAGACAGCAGCAAGACAGAACAAGGCCACGCUCCUUCAUUCAACUCCGCUGCAGACGCAGUCGGAGCAUCUAGAGGGGAGGCUCUGUCAAGAAUCCUAAUUGCUCCAAUUUAACCACAUUGCAAGGACACAUGGUGUGGCACCGGUAAUCCCUCUCCAGAAGACAGAACCAUAGAUCUGGCGUGACGUGACUUGAAAAUGUCUGCAGGAAAACCCCAUCUGACAUGGCAUGGCAUGAUGUGGAUGAUGUGGCAAAAAAAAAUCCAGCCGCUGCACCAAAUUGCUCCUGCUAGAUCCAGAAGACCAGUCGUGAUGACAGAAACGUAAACAUUUAAUAAUUACAAAUUGGAUUUAUCUCUGAGUGCUUACAAUGUGUAUCCAUUAUUCAUUCACUCCUCAUUCAUACUGAUGGUGAUGGUACGUUACUGAUGUGGCGUGGGGCAUUCUGACAGAGGCGUGGCUGCCAGUAAGCACCCCUAUGACCAUCACUAGGAAAUUCAUUCGCGUAUGCAUGAUAGGAAACCUUGAGGACAUCCCAAAUGUUCUGAGUACUUCUCCAUUUUUGCAACAAAGGCUGUGAAGGUGAUUAAUGUGGUGACAACCGAGUGAUAAACGUCAAAGAUAAAGUUUCAGGCUGAAGCUUGAGUUCACUGAGGUUGGUGCGUCUGGACAGAAUGUUGCAUCAAGGACAUUUCAUCCUACCUCACACAAAUGUCUAGUGCAGGUCUAACAGAAGCUCUUGCAUUCAGGCAAAACUGUUACUGAAGCUGCUUGACUGACGCUUCUUUGCAUCAAUGUUUCCCAACAGAACAUUUGGAUUCACAAACACAGACAGGGCUUCAACUUUUAUAAAGAGGACAAAUAUGUGCCUGAAACAAUAAAGACUCUUUAAAACCGGUUAAA